rnacentral:lncRNA from 1 species
AAAACUGCCACCAGAAUAAUUCAUCCAUUUGGGAUUUACACUUUUUCUUUCUUUUUCAUUCCCAAGGGGAACAUGGAAAAAAGAAUCUGCUAUGAUCUAACCCAGACCACAUUUGACCCACUUCUUAUGUUUUGAAAGAGUAUUACUCUUACCCCUCAUCAGCCAAAGGCCAGGCACGGACCUGGUGAUUAUAUGUUUCUGCCUUGAAAUGGAGCUGUUAUGACACCUUGUAAAUGGCUGUUUUCUUCUUGUUUCAACCCAAAGCUCAAAGUGUUCAACAUCUCCUCAAGGGGAGUGGAGAGAGCAGAACUUGCAUGCAUUGAACUGGUAGUCCUGUCUUCCAAGUGCAGCUAAAGACAACUGAUUGGUUUCUUGGAGAUCUUUGUAAGUCUCUAUAUCCAAAUGAGAAGACAAGAUGUUUUCAUAUCCACUUACAUUAGAAGACUCCUUCAAAACACUGAAGGUAAGUUUAUUUCCUAGACCAAUUGGAGUCUGACAAAUACAGUUGAACUUCCCCCGAUC